AAACUGCUGCACUGUUCUUAGCAGGUUCUGACCUCCGUCCCUGGGAUGACCUGCUCCACUACAGCUGAUGUCUGCCUGAAGGUGGAGGUCAGGAGAGUCCCCACGGCAUCCGAACAUGGCGCCUCUUGACUUCCCCUCUUUCACCUUUUAUUUGAUGGUUUCCUGAAUCAGGGUCUCACAUAGUCCCAGUUAGCCUCAGAGUUGCUGUAAUCCUCCUGCCUCAGCCUCUCAUAUGCUGUGUCCCUAAGAGGACAGAGUAACAGGAACUUGGUGAAAGGAACAUGGGAUGUUGCCGUGAGGGACCUGCCCUCUUAAACCUUGGACUGUUCGUGUGGGGAAGGUGGAGGCGUUUGGAGCUUUGAACUGGAAAAGCCACUGUGGGAACUUGGAAGGCUCUUUGGCAAGGAAGGCUAUGUGGAAUUGGUCUAUCACCGUCUACACACGGUCUCACUGGUCUACCCUCCUGUCCUGCACUGUGGCUGUUGGCAGUCUCCAUCACUCUUCCCAGCACAGGAAGCUGGAAACUGGUCUGCUCAGAGUCUUCUAUAAUUAAGGUGGGAACUUUCUCCUGCAGUAGGGCCGACCUUGUUGGGUGUGGCCUUCAGGAGGAGUGCCUGCCACCGACACCCUCACACCGUUGGGGUAAUCCUGCUGGUUAUUGCAUGAAGAACCUCUAGGAAGCAGAUAGUGUCCACAGUGGUUCCCUUUGCUGUGUAAUUACUGCUGUGGACUGUCCCUCCACCAGGGCUGCUAACGUUGGCUGCCUCUGAAUCCAUUUCUACCUCAGCACUGAACACCACAGCGACUCCUAUAUUUUGGAGUACUUCCAGGGGCUGUGUGUUCUUUGUUGUUGAUUUUUAGACAGGGUUUCACUGCGUAGUCUAGGCUGGCCUGAAACUUGUUGAGGUCCACCUGCCUAUCUACUGCUUACAUCAAACCGUUCUACUGUUCACAAAACCUUGACUGAGAUAACUUUUUGUUCCGGUCACGCGGGCACUGCAGACUUCAGGCCACCUGGGCCAGGACUGCUUGCGGUACUGGUACUAGGCUUUGGAUUAGAGCUGGUGUUAGCCGGUGGCUACUGGGUGUCAGUUUUGCCACUCAUGGAGGUGAUGAUAGUGGUGUGGUAGUGGCUGCUCUUCCAGGGUUGCCAUGGCUCCAGGCUCUCUGGGAUUCUCUCUCCAUUCCUGUUAUUGAUCCAAUGCCAUCUGUCUGUCUGCAAAUUUGUUUUGCCUCCCAUGUGUGUACACCAAGUGCAUGCCAGAUGCCCCCUGAAUCAGGAGAGGGUGUUGAACCCCUAGAACUGGAGUUACAGAUGGUUGUGGGCUGCCAUGUUGGUGCU